rnacentral:rRNA from 1 species
GUAGUCCACGCUGUAAACGAUGACAACUGGGUGUUGCGGGUAUUGACUCCCGCUGCGCCGAAGCUAACGCGUUAAGUUGUCCGCCUGGGAAGUACGGCCGCAAGGCUAAAACUCAAAGGAAUUGACGGGGGCCCGCACAAGCGGUGGAGCAUGUGGUUUAAUUCGACGCAACGCGAAGAACCUUACCUGGGCUCGAAAAUGCGCGAACCUGGCUGAAAGGCCGGGGGUGCCCGCAAGGGAGCGCGUAUCAGGUGCUGCACGGCUGCCGUCAGCUCGUGCCGUGAGGUGUUGGGUUAAG